AUUGAACGCUGGCGGCAGGCCUAACACAUGCAAGUCGAGCGGAUGAAGGGAGCUUGCUCCUGGAUUCAGCGGCGGACGGGUGAGUAAUGCCUAGGAAUCAGCCUGGUAGUGGGGGAUAACGUCCGGAAACGGGCGCUAAUACCGCAUACGUCCUGAGGGAGAAAGUGGGGGAUCUUCGGACCUCACGCUAUCAGAUGAGCCUAGGUCGGAUUAGCUAGUUGGUGGGGUAAAGGCCUACCAAGGCGACGAUCCGUAACUGGUCUGAGAGGAUGAUCAGUCACACUGGAACUGAGACACGGUCCAGACUCCUACGGGAGGCAGCAGUGGGAAUAUUGGACAAUGGGCGAAAGCCUGAUCCAGCCAUGCCGCGUGUGUGAAGAAGGUCUUCGGAUUGUAAAGCACUUUAAGUUGGGAGGAAGGGCAGUAAGUUAAUACCUUGCUGUUUUGACGUUACCAACAGAAUAAGCACCGGCUAACUUCGUG
rnacentral:rRNA from 1 species